rnacentral:rRNA from 1 species
GAUGAACGCUAGCUACAGGCUUAACACAUGCAAGUCGAGGGGUAACGAGAGGAAAGCUUGCUUUCCUUGUCGACGACCGGCGCACGGGUGAGUAACGCGUAUCCAACCUGCCCCCAACUAAGGAAUAACCUUGCGAAAGUAAGACUAAUACCUUAUAAUUUCCUCAGAUGUCAUCUGACGAGGAAUAAAGAUUUAUCGGUUGUGGAUGGGGAUGCGUCUGAUUAGCUUGUUGGCGGGGUAACGGCCCACCAAGGCAACGAUCAGUAGGGGUUCUGAGAGGAAGGUCCCCCACAUUGGAACUGGGACACGGUCCAAACUCCUACGGGAGGCAGCAGUGAGGAAUAUUGGUCAAUGGGCGGAAGCUUGAACCAGCCAAGUAGCGUGCAGGAUGACGGCCCUAUGGGUUGUAAACUGCUUUUAUACAGGAAUAAAGUUAGCCACGUGUGGUUAUUUGUAGGUACUGUAUGAAUAGGGACCGGCUAAUUCCGUGCCAGCCGCCGCGGUAA